CCGCCGCUGACCACCCAACACCCUUCACCACCAUGUCUACCGACUAAUCUUAGAAGACACAUGAAAAAUAAACAUGGUGGUAUUACAACCAGUUCAACGCGUUGAAAUAGCACAACAGAUUGUACCAUGUAACGAAAUUGCUCCGCAAAUUAUUGUACCAGACAUUCAUACCAACAACGAAGAAUAAUGGGGCGAUAACGGUGAUGAUGAUGAAUUGCUUAGUUUCUUAGCGGAUGGUGCGGAAAGUUCAUAUUUGUGUGAUAAUCCAGGAUUCAUGGCAUGUAAAAGACCGAUUAACUCUGAGGCCGUAGGUAUUCAAAAAAAGACUCGUUUGAACAUUGUUGAAAAUACACCCGGUUUUGUGCGAGUAGACUCAUCUUUUUAUAAUAUCAUCACAUGGUAUUAUAAAAAGAAUAUUAGAAAUAUCGCCAAUUAUUCGUCAUUUCUCAUUUCGAUCAAAGCCGAACUACAACCUAACCUAACCUAUCCAGCGAAGCCUGAAUCGUGGAUUAUAUACCAGGACUAGUAAACCUCUUUUAAUUCGAAGUCAAGCACUAUGGAAAGAGGGAUAUUUAAUGUUACGGAGAAGUGAAACCAAGGGCUCUCAAAAAUGUAUAGCUCGCAUUCAAUAAACAAAUUAUUAUAAUAUUAAUAAACAAAUAAUGCGGUCAACAUUGACCGUAGUGCUCGAGGAUUACAAAUAAUGUUUGUCCCGCGCGCGUUGUCGCCGAACUUCAUGAGGAGACAUCGAGGCGCCCCCUCCAUCUUGUGCUCGUGCUCGACCAGGUCCGAUCAUGCGCCAGCGGCGCCCGACCGUCUGUCUCUGGUCCGGUCCCGUCUCGUCCGGUGCUGAGCUCUCCGGUGCCUGGUGGCACGUUUUUGUCAAAGACUUACGUGCAAGUUCACACCGUGGUCGGCCAUUUUUCGCACGUGUGGGACUGUGACUCCGCGACAUCCACAUCUCCCCGGGGCAAUCCGCCAAGAGUAUCGUCGUCUCCAGUGACCGGUGCCCAGAACGCGUUGUUCGCCGUUCCUGUUGUUAGGUGCCACUUCCAUUCGUCAAUGAGGUCAUCCUACCGGUCCCGGUGGUUGUCGCACGCGGCGAUUGUAAACUGCGCCCAAGGUACAGGUAACACAAAAACACACAUGUAAACUGAUUUACGUAUUUACCAAGUGUAAAAAGGUGACAUAUAAACUGCGCCCCGGUUAAAUUUUAUAAAUGAAGAGCUAUAUUUUAUGUAUUACAGCCAUAUAGUAUUGGCUUUAUAUCAAUUGCGCCGAAAAUUGCAGGUAAAGAAAGAAAAAUUAUGGGAUGGAAAAAAGCGACGACUAAUCGUACACAUUCGAUAAAAUACAGGAAAAAACCGCACACUUUUUUAAAUUCUUGUAACCAAAAAAUCGCACAUUUCAUAAUGAUAUAUAAUCUA